GACCCCGUAACUUCGGGAGAAGGGGUGCUCUAUUAGGGUGCAAGCCCGAGAGAGCCGCAGUGAAUAGGCCCAGGCGACUGUUUAGCAAAAACACAGGUCUCUGCAAAACCGUAAGGUGACGUAUAGGGGCUGACGCCUGCCCGGUGCUGGAAGGUUAAGAGGAGUGCUUAGCUUCGGCGAAGGUACGAAUUGAAGCCCCAGUAAACGGCGGCCGUAACUAUAACGG
rnacentral:rRNA from 1 species